AAACUCUCCCUGCUUGGCGUGCCUGACUCCACCUGCAGGUGGAUCACUGACUUCCUGUCUGACAGGAAGCAGCAUGUGAAGCUG